rnacentral:rRNA from 1 species
UACGAAGGGGGCUAGCGUUGCUCGGAAUCACUGGGCGUAAAGCGCACGUAGGCGGGUCGUUAAGUCAGGGGUGAAAUCCUGGGAGCUCAACUCCAGAACUGCCCUUGAUACUGGCGAUCUCGAGUUCCGGGAGAGGUGAGUGGAACUGCGAGUGUAGAGGUGAAAUUCGUAGAUAUUCGCAAGAACACCAGUGGCGAAGGCGGCUCACUGGCCC